rnacentral:rRNA from 1 species
GGAUGCGAUCAUACCAGCACUAAUACACCGGAUCUCAUCAGAACUCCGCAGUUAAGCGUGCUUGGGCGAGAGUAGUACUAGGAUGGGUGACCUCCUGGGAAGUCCUCGUGUUGCACCCC